AGAGUUUGAUCCUGGCUCAGGAUGAACGCUAGCGACAGGCCUAACACAUGCAAGUCGAGGGGUAACAUGAGUGCUUGCACUUGAUGACGACCGGCGCACGGGUGCGUAACGCGUAUGCAACUUACCUUGUACUGGGGAAUAGCCCGUGGAAACGCGGAUUAAUGUCCCAUAACACUACAAUUUCGCAUGGAAAAGUGGUUAAAGUUCCGACGGUACAAGAUGGGCAUGCGUGACAUUAGCUAGUUGGUGAGGUAAGGGCUCACCAAGGCGACGAUGUCUAGGGGUUCUGAGAGGAAGGUCCCCCACACUGGUACUGAGACACGGACCAGACUCCUACGGGAGGCAGCAGUGAGGAAUAUUGGUCAAUGGGCGCAAGCCUGAACCAGCCAUGUCGCGUGCAGGAAGACUGCCCUACGGGUUGUAAACUGCUUUUGUAUGGGAAGAAACGUUGGUACGUGUACCAAUUUGCCGGUACCAUACGAAUAAGGAUCGGCUAACUCCGUGCCAGCAGCCGCGGUAAUACGGAGGAUCCAAGCGUUAUCCGGAUUUAUUGGGUUUAAAGGGUGCGUAGGCGGUAGAAUAAGUCAGUGGUGAAAUCCUGCAGCUUAACUGUAGAACUGCCAUUGAUACUGUUUUACUUGAGUGUAAUUGAGGUAGGCGGAAUGUGUUGUGUAGCGGUGAAAUGCAUAGAUAUAACACAGAACACCGAUUGCGAAGGCAGCUUACUAAGUUAUAACUGACGCUGAUGCACGAAAGCGUGGGUAGCGAACAGGAUUAGAUACCCUGGUAGUCCACGCCGUAAACGAUGAUUACUCGCUGUAGGCAAUACACCGUCUGUGGCUGAGCGAAAGCAUUAAGUAAUCCACCUGGGGAGUACGUUGGCAACAAUGAAACUCAAAGGAAUUGACGGGGGCCCGCACAAGCGGAGGAACAUGUGGUUUAAUUCGAUGAUACGCGAGGAACCUUACCUGGACUUAAAUGUAGAUUGACGUAUCCAGAGAUGGAUAUUUCUUCGGACAAUUUACAAGGUGCUGCAUGGUUGUCGUCAGCUCGUGCCGUGAGGUGUCGGGUUAAGUCCCAUAACGAGCGCAACCCCUGUUGUUAGUUACCAGCACAUCAUGGUGGGGACUCUAACAAGACUGCCGGUGUAAACCGCGAGGAAGGUGGGGAUGACGUCAAAUCAGCACGGCCCUUACGUCCAGGGCUACACACGUGUUACAAUGGCCGGUACAGAGGGCAGCUACUUGGUGACAAGAUGCGAAUCUCAAAAACCGGUCUCAGUUCGGAUCGAAGUCUGC
rnacentral:rRNA from 1 species